UACGAAGGGGGCUAGCGUUGCUCGGAAUUACUGGGCGUAAAGGGAGCGUAGGCGGAUAUUUAAGUCGGGUGUGAAAGCCCCGGGCUCAACCUGGGAAUUGCAUUCGAGACUGCGUGGCUAGGGUGCGGAAGAGGGAAGCGGAAUUUCCGGUGUAGCGGUGAAAUGCGUAGAUAUCGGAAGGAACACCAGUGGCGAAAGCGGCUUCCUGGUCCAGCACCGACGUCAGGCACGAAAGCGUGGGGAGCAAACAGGG
rnacentral:rRNA from 1 species